GACGAACGCUGGCGGCGUGCUUAACACAUGCAAGUCGAACGGAAAGGCCCUGCUUUUGUGGGGUGCUCGAGUGGCGAACGGGUGAGUAACACGUGAGUAACCUGCCCUUGACUUUGGGAUAACUUCAGAAAACUGGGGCUACUACCGGAUAGGAGCUCCUGCUGCAUGGUGGGGGGUGGAAAGUUUCGGCGGUUGGGGAUGGACUCGCGGCUUAUCAGCUUGUUGGUGGGGUAGUGGCUUACCAAGGCUUUGACGGGUAGCCGGCCUGAGAGGGUGACCGGCCACAUUGGGACUGAGAUACGGCCCAGACUCCUACGGGAGGCAGCAGUGGGGAAUAUUGCACAAUGGGCGGAAGCCUGAUGCAGCAACGCCGCGUGCGGGAUGACGGCCUUCGGGUUGUAAACCGCUUUCGCCUGUGACGAAGCGUGAGUGACGGUAAUGGGUAAAGAAGCACCGGCUAACUACGUG
rnacentral:rRNA from 1 species